UAGGGAAUCAUAGUCAAUGGGCGCAAGCCUGAACUUGCGAUGCCGCGUGUGCGAAGAAGGCCUUAGGGUUGUAAAGCACUUUCAGUCGCGAAGAAAAGCUUGAAGUUAAUACCUUUGAGUCUUGACGUUAACGACAGAAGAAGGUCCGGCUAACUCCGUGCCAGCAGCCGCGGUAAUACGGAGGGAUCGAACGUUAAUCGGAAUUACUGGGCGUAAAGCGCGCGUAGGCGGUUUGGUAAGUGGGAUGUGAAAGCCCCGGGCUUAACCUGGGAACUGCAUUCCAAACUGCCAGACUAGAGUAUGGUAGAGGGAGGUAGAAUUUCCUGUGUAGCGGUGAAAUGCGUAGAUAUAGGAAGGAAUACCGAUGGCGAAGGCAGCCUCCUGGACCAAUACUGACGCUGAGGUGCGAAAGCGUGGGGAGCAAACAGGAUUAGAUACCCCCGUAGUCC
rnacentral:rRNA from 1 species